CUCAAAGAUUAAGCCAUGCAUGUCUAAGUAUAAGCAACUAUACGGUGAAACUGCGAAUGGCUCAUUAAAUCAGUUAUCGUUUAUUUGAUAGUACCUUACUACAUGGAUACCUGUGGUAAUUCUAGAGCUAAUACAUGCUAAAAACCCCGACUUCAGGAAGGGGUGUAUUUAUUAGAUAAAAAACCAACGCCCUUCGGGGCUCCUUGGUGAAUCAUAAUAACUUAACGAAUCGCAUGGCCUUGCGCCGGCGAUGGUUCAUUCAAAUUUCUGCCCUAUCAACUUUCGAUGGUAGGAUAGUGGCCUACCAUGGUAUCAACGGGUAACGGGGAAUUAGGGUUCUAUUCCGGAGAGGGAGCCUGAGAAAUGGCUACCACAUCUAAGGAAGGCA
rnacentral:rRNA from 1 species